rnacentral:lncRNA from 1 species
AGCCAGGGAAAGUGUGGCCCACCGUGGUGUCCUGCAGGUCGCAGUGCUCUGGUCAGCCAGGUCUCCUCGAGUGUGUCUGGGACGAGUGGAGGGAGACUACAUCUAGUGGGUCCAGAGACUGUGAAAAGACAUCCAUCUGUGAAUGUUCCAGGAUACCAGACAAACGCAUCUGACUGGGUGAUCUGGACUCCAGCAAAUGUAUCCAAGAAUAAGAGAGAACCCUCUGUCUAGAUCUCCCACCUUAUAUCAGCCACCAUCUUCAGACUGGAAUCAGCAACAAGGUAAAAGUACAUAUAAUUAAAAAUGUGUUUUACCCCUAUCCAGGAAAUCUGCACUCGAGCCACUCAUUCAGAACAUUAGAAAUGACUUGUAUUUAUGAUAAUGCAAUUGAUUACACUGUACACCGAUUGUUGUGCACAUGGCUUGCAGCAUGAUUCAAAAAGCCACAUUUACUGAAUAUACAAAACUUUGUUAAUAAUUUACAACAGAACAGUGAGUUGCACAUGUUAACAGUGGAAAACUUAGGG